GUCACCUCCGCCACCAACACCGGUCUACCAUUACGCCUCUCCGCCACCUCCGGUCUACUACUACAAAUCGCCACCUCCUCCUUCACCGGUUUACUACUACAAAUCCCCUCCUCCUCCUUCGCCGGUCUACUAUUACAAAUCCCCGCCUCCACCACCAUACUAUUACAAGUCCCCACCUCCACCUCCGCCUAAGUAUUACUACAAGUCGCCCCCACCACCGUCUCCAUACUAUUACAAAUCCCCGCCCCCUCCACCGUACUAUUACAAAUCCCCACCACCACCUCCCUACAAAUACGAAUCGCCGCCGCCUCCUCCUUACAAAUACGAGUCCCCACCUCCACCACCUUACUAUUACAAGUCCCCACCACCACCUCCAUACAAAUAUGAAUCCCCGCCACCUCCAGUCUACAAAUAUGAGUCUCCGCCACCCCCAGUUUACAAAUACAAGUCGCCACCACCACCAUACAAGUACGAGUCACCACCACCACCUCCAUACAAGUAUGAAUCCCCGCCACCUCCACCUUAUUACUACAAGUCCCCUCCACCACCACCAUACAAGUACGAGUCGCCACCACCUCCUCCGUACAAGUAUGAAUCUCCACCACCACCAGUUUACAAAUACAAGUCACCUCCGCCGCCACCUUAUUACUACAAAUCCCCACCGCCACCUCCAUACAAGUACGAGUCUCCACCUCCUCCUCCGUACAAGUAUGAAUCUCCACCACCACCACCUUAUUACUACAAAUCCCCCCCGCCACCUCCAUACAAGUACGAGUCACCGCCUCCUCCUCCGUACAAGUAUGAAUCUCCACCACCGCCAGUUUACAAAUACAAGUCACCCCCGCCACCACCUUAUUACUACAAAUCCCCGCCACCACCUCCAUACAAGUACGAGUCUCCACCUCCUCCUCCGUACAAGUAUGAAUCUCCACCACCACCUCCUUAUUACUACAAAUCCCCGCCGCCACCUCCCUACAAGUAUGAAUCCCCGCCACCACCUCCCUACAAAUACGAGUCACCUCCACCACCACCUUACUAUUACAAAUCUCCUCCACCGCCUCCAUACAAGUAUGAGUCGCCACCACCACCAGUCUACAAAUACGAGUCUCCGCCACCCCCAGUUUACAAAUACAAGUCGCCCCCUCCACCUUAUUACUACAAGUCUCCGCCACCCCCGCCAUACAAAUAUGAAUCCCCACCUCCACCUCCCUACAAGUAUGAAUCGCCUCCUCCUCCACCUUACUACUACAAGUCCCCUCCACCACCUCCCUACAAAUAUGAAUCCCCGCCACCACCUCCCUAUAAAUACGAGUCACCACCACCACCACCUUACUAUUACAAAUCUCCUCCACCGCCUCCAUACAAGUAUGAGUCGCCACCACCACCUCCCUACAAAUACGAGUCACCACCACCACCACCUUACAAGUAUGAAUCCCCACCUCCACCUCCGUACAAGUAUGAAUCACCUCCACCGCCUCCAUACAAGUAUGAAUCCCCUCCUCCACCUCCCUACAAAUACGAGUCACCACCCCCACCACCUUAUUACUACAAAUCGCCUCCGCCACCGGAGUAUCAAUCACCUCCUUACGUGUAUAAAUCUCCACCUCCACCCUCGUACUAGGAGCUAAGGAGCAUUUGAUUUUCAGGUGAGAAAUCUAUAGAACCACAGUUCCUAGUUUUAACAAGUUUUCAAAUUCAU
rnacentral:lncRNA from 1 species